rnacentral:rRNA from 1 species
AUUUUGACUGUGCAAAGGUAGCAUAAUCAUUAGUCUUUUAAUUGGGGACUGGUAUGAAUGGUUUAACGAGGUAUUAGCUGUCUCAUUUUAAUAAAUUGAAUUUAACUUUUGAGUCAAAAGGCUUAAAUGGAAUUGGAGGACGAGAAGACCCUAUAGAGCUUUAUAAAUUAAAUAUUAAGUUGGAUUUAGGUGUUUUGUUUGGUUUAAAUAUUUAAUCUAUUUUAUUGGGGUGAUAUGAAGAUUUAAUAAACUCUUUAUAAUAAAUAAACAUUGAUAAGUGAAUAAUUGAUCCAUUUUUAGUGAUUAUAAGAUUAAGUUACCUUAGGGAUAACAGCGUAAUGUUUUUUAAGAGUUCUUAUCGACAAAAAAGAUUGCGACCUCGAUGUUGGAUUAAGGAAAAAAUUGGG